rnacentral:rRNA from 1 species
UACGGAGGAGGCAAGCGUUAUCCGGAAUUAUUGGGCGUAAAGCGUCCCUAGGUGGUUGACCAAGUCUGCUGUCAAAGGGUGGGGCUUAACCUCAUAAAGGCAGUGGAAACUGGUGAGCUAGAGUGCGGUAGGGGUAAGGGGAAUUCCCAGUGUAGCGGUGAAAUGCGUAGAGAUUGGGAAGAACAUCGGUGGCGAAAGCGCCUUGCUGGGCCUGCACUGACACUGAGUGACGAAAGCUAGGGGAAGGAAAGGG